rnacentral:rRNA from 2 species
ACCUGACUGCUAUCGGAUUGAUACUAAGCCAUGCGAGUCAUUGUAGCAAUACAAGGCAGACGGCUCAGUAACACGUAGUCAAUCUAACCUAUGGACGGGGAUAACCUCGGGAAACUGAGAAUAAUAUCCGAUAGGCCACUAUGCCUGGAAUGGUUUGUGGCCCAAAUGAUUUAUCGCCGUAGGAUGGGACUGCGGUCUAUCAGCUUGUUGGUGAGGUAAUGGCCCACCAAGGCUAUAACAGAUACGGGCUCUGAGAGGAGAGGCCCGGAGAUGGGUACUGAGACACGGACCCAGGCCCUAUGGGGCGCAGCAGGCGAGAAAACUUUGCAAUGUGCGAAAGCACGACAAGGUUAAUCCGAGUGUUUUCUGCUAAAGAAAUCUUUUACCGGUCUUAAAACCACCGGCGAAUAAGGGGUGGGCAAGUUCUGGUGUCAGCCGCCGCGGUAAAACCAGCACCUCAAGUGGUCAGGAGGAUUAUUGGGCCUAAAGCAUCCGUAGCCUGCCGUGUAAGUUUUCGGUUAAAUCUAUGUGCUCAACGCAUAGGCUGCCGGAAAUACUGCACGGCUAGGGAGUGGGAGAGGUAGACGGUACUCGGUAGGAAGGGGUAAAAUCCUCUGAUCUAUCGAUGACCCCCUGUGGCGAAGGCGGUCUACUAGAACACGUCCGACGGUGAGGGAUGAAAGCUGGGGGAGCAAACCGGAUUAGAUACCCGGGUAGUCCCAGCUGUAAACAAUGCAAACUCAGUGAUGCAUUGGCGUAAGAGCCAGUGCAGUGCCGCAGGGAAGCCGUUAAGUUUGCCGCCUGGGAAGUACGUACGCAAGUAUGAAACUUAAAGGAAUUGGCGGGGGAGCACCACAAGGGGUGAAGCCUGCGGUUC